rnacentral:rRNA from 1 species
CCCUUCGGGGCGCUGACGAGUGGCGGACGGGUGCGUAAUGCUUAGGAAUCUGCCCUGUAGUGGGGGAUAACCCGGGGAAACUCGGGCUAAUACCGCAUGUACUCUAAGGAGUAAAGCGGGGGACCUUCGGGCCUCGCGCUAUAGGAUGAGCCUAAGUCCGAUUAGCUAGUUGGUGGGGUAACGGCCUACCGAGGCGACGAUCGGUAGCUGGUCUGAGAGGACGACCAGCCACACUGGGACUGAGACACGGCCCAGACUCCUACGGGAGGCAGCAGUGGGGAAUAUUGGACAAUGGGGGAAACCCUGAUCCAGCGACGCCGCGUGGGUGAAGAAGGCCUGCGGGUUGUAAAGCCCUUUCAGUCGGGAAGAAAAACCAAAGGAUAAUACCUUUUGGUCUUGACGUUACUGACAGAAGAAGCACCGGCUAACUCCGUGCCAGCAGCCGCGGUAAUACGGAGGGUGCGAGCGUUAAUCGGAAUUACUGGGCGUAAAGGGCGCGUAGGUGGUUUGGUAAGUCGGAUGUGAAAUCCCCGGGCUUAACUUGGGAACUGCAUUCGAUACUGCCUGACUAGAGUAUGGUAGAGGGAAGCGGAAUUUCCGGUGUAGCGGUGAAAUGCGUAGAUAUCGGAAGGAACACCAGUGGCGAAGGCGGCUUCCUGGACCAAUACUGACGCUGAGGCGCGAAAGCGUGGGGAUCAAACAGGAUUAGAUACCCUGGUAGUCCACGCCCUAAACGAUGAGAACUAGCCGUUGGGGGAGUUAAAUCCUUUAGUGGCGCAGCUAACGCGAUAAGUUCUCCGCCUGGGGAGUACGGCCGCAAGGUUAAAACUCAAAGGAAUUGACGGGGGCCCGCACAAGCGGUGGAGCAUGUGGUUUAAUUCGAUGCAACGCGAAGAACCUUACCUGCCCUUGACAUCUGGGGGAACCCUGCAGAGAUGCCGGGGGUGCCUUCCGGGAACCCCAAGACAGGUGCUGCAUGGCUGUCGUCAG